GGAACAUAGAGCAGCCCAUUCUCCUCGUUGCCGUAAUAAACUCUGCGGGAACGAAACGACUUGUGAGGAAUAAAAUUAGCAGCAGAACGUAAAUUCCGAGCCCUAAGUACGAUUUGCCCUUCUCGUACAACUUUGGCAUCGGGGACUGGAGACGAGCGCAUAAGCUUCGAGACGAAGUAGCGGAGAACUCCGAUGAGGACCAUGACCACGGAGAGCGGAAUCAGCACCCAAUCUCUGAUGGCCGUGUCCAGAACUAGAUCUUCCG
rnacentral:misc_RNA from 1 species